rnacentral:lncRNA from 7 species
GGGGAUUUUGAAGAGGAAAUGCAUGAGUUUCGUUUACAUGUGAGAUUUUUGUAGAGGAAACGCGUGAUUUUUUGGAUACAUGGGGGAUUCUUGUAGCAAAAAUGUUUGAUUUUGGGGUCAAAUGGGGGAUAUUUGAAGAGCAAAAGUGUGAUUUCCGAGUUAAAUGGGGGAUUUUCCUAGAGAAGAUGUGUGAUUUGGGGGAUAAUGGGGUAUUUUUGGAGAGAAAAUGCAAGAUUUUGUGGAAAAUGCGGGAUUUUGCAAGAGAAAAUGUGUGCUUUUGGGGUUAAUGGGGUAUUUUUGGAGAGAAAAUGCAUGAUUUGGGGGUAAAUGCGUAUUUUCCAAGAGAAAAGGUGAGGUUUUUGAGUUAAAUGGGGGGUUUUCCAAGAGAAAAUGCGUGAUUUUGGGGUUAAAGGGGAUUGUUGAAGAGAAAACGCGCAAUUUUUGGUUUGAA